AUUGAACGCUGGCGGCAGGCCUAACACAUGCAAGUCGAACGAGUGGCGGACGGGUGAGUAAUGUCUGGGAAACUGCCUGACGGAGGGGGAUAACUACUGGAAACGGUAGCUAAUACCGCAUACCAUCGGAUGUGCCCAGAUGGGAUUAGCUAGUAGGUGGGGUAACGGCUCACCUAGGCGACGAUACCUAGCUGGUCUGAGUGGAUGACCAACCACACUGGAACGGAGCCACGUUACGGACGCCUACGGGAGGCAGAAGUGGUGAAGAUUGCACAAUGGGCGCAAGACUGAUGCAGCCAUGCAGCGUGUAUGAAGAAGGCCUGCGGGUUGUAAAGUACUUUCAGCGGGGAGGCGUUACCCGCAGAAGAAGCACCGGCUGACGCCGUGCCAGCAGCCGCGGUAAUAC
rnacentral:rRNA from 1 species